rnacentral:rRNA from 1 species
UACGUAGGUGGCAAGCGUUAUCCGGAAUUAUUGGGCGUAAAGAGCGCGCAGGUGGUUAAUUAAGUCUGAUGUGAAAGCCCACGGCUUAACCGUGGAGGGUCAUUGGAAACUGGUUGACUUGGGUGCAGAAGAGGGAAGUGGAAUUCCAUGUGUAGCGGUGAAAUGCGUAGAGAUAUGGAGGAACACCAGUGGCGAAGGCGGCCUGCUGGACAUUAACUGACGCUGAGGCGCGAAAGCGUGGGGAGCAAACAGG